AACGAACGCUGGCGGCAUGCCUAACCCAUGCAAGUCGCCCGAGAAAAUCGGGUCUAGUGGCGACCGGGUGAGUCAAGUCUGGGACCCUGCCCUUCGAUUCGGAAUAACUCUCCGCCUGGGGUGCUAACUCCGGAUAAUGCCUUCGCACCAACGCUUUAUCGCCUUUGGAUGGGCCCGCGUUGGCUUAGCUAGUUGGUAGGGUAACAGCCUACCAACGCGACGAUCCAUAGCUGGUCUGAGCGGAUGAUAAGCCACACUGGGACUGAGAAACGGCACAGACUCCUGCGCGAGGCAGCAGGGAGGAAGAAUGGAAAAUGGGCGGGAACCUGAUGCAGUGAUGCCGCGAGGAGGAUGAAGGCCUGAGGGUUGUACAGCCCUUUUACCCGCGAUGAUAAUGACAGUACCGGGAGAAUAAGCACCGGCUAACGGCGUG
rnacentral:rRNA from 1 species